rnacentral:rRNA from 1 species
CAGUAGCCGCGGGAAUACAGAGGGUGCGAGCGUUAAUCGGAUUUACUGGGCGUAAAGCGUGCGUAGGCGGCUUCUUAAGUCGGAUGUGAAAUCCCUGAGCUUAAUUUAGGAAUUGCAUUCGAUACUGGGAAGCUAGAGUAUGGGAGAGGAUGGUAGAAUUCCAGGUGUAGCGGUGAAAUGCGUAGAGAUCUGGAGGAAUACCGAUGGCGAAGGCAGCCAUCUGGCCUAAUACUGACGCUGAGGUACGAAAGCAUGGGGAGCAAACAGGAUUAGAUACCCGGGUAGUCCCUGUCUCUUAUAC